AUUGAACGCUGGCGGCAGGCCUAACACAUGCAAGUCGAACGAGUGGCGGACGGGUGAGUAAUGUCUGGGAAACUGCCCGAUGGAGGGGGAUAACUACUGGAAACGGUAGCUAAUACCGCAUACCAUCAGAUGUGCCCAGAUGGGAUUAGCUAGUAGGUGGGGGAAAGGCUCACUGAUGCGACGAUCCCUAGCUGGUCUGAGAGGAUGACCAGCCACACUGGAACUGAGACACGGUCCAGACGCCGACGAGAGGCAGCAGUGGGGAAGAUUGCACAAGGGGCGCAAGCCUGAUGCAGCCGUGCCGCGUGUAUGAAGAAGGCCUUCGGGUUGUAAAGUACUUUCAGCGAGGAGGCGUUACUCGCAGAAGAAGCACCGGCUAACUCCGUGCCAGCAGCCGCGGUAAUUC
rnacentral:rRNA from 1 species